UACGGAGGGUGCAAGCGUUUGUCCGGAAAUCACUGGGCGUAAAGGGCGCGUAGGCGGCUCAUGAAGGCUGUGGUGAAAGUCCGGGGCUCAACCUCGGUCGGCCGUGGCGACUCGUGGGCUGGAGCACUGUAGAGGCGGGUGGAAUUCCGGGUGUAGCGGUGGAAUGCGUAGAGAUCCGAAGAACGACCAGUGGCGAAGGCGGACCCGGCUGGCAGUGGCGUGACGCUGAGGCGCGACGCGUGGGGACGCAAACGAGG
rnacentral:rRNA from 1 species